GGGGAUGAAUAGCCUUGACGCGAAGCAGAAGUCAGAGUGUCAAGCGGGAUUUGGCGGUAUGUUCCCUUAAACAACCGCUAAAAAAUGAUUGCCAAACCAAUCAACAAAUUGAGGGCUCUGGGAGAAUUGGUGCGCGAGAGAAUUCUUUCUCUUAUGCCCGCUCCUUUGGCUCUCAAUGUAGCUGUAGGGUAAUAACAAUUACUCUACGCUACUGUCUCUGUAUCCUAGUUCGGGGGUACAGUAAGGCAUUAUAAUCCGAACUUGGAGAAGUAUGGUUUCUGAUGAGGCUUCCAUCUUCUCUGAAAUUUAAAAGCCUUCAUCCUCUUUACUGUCUUUGCAUGUUUGUGGGGUAAAGAGUAAAAAACAUGCUAAGCUUGUAGUAGCUUUUGGCUACUGCUUGGCGGACGGGGGUUCGCUACCCCCCAUCUCCACAG
rnacentral:tmRNA from 1 species